rnacentral:rRNA from 1 species
GGGGAAUAUUGCACAAUGGGGGAAACCCUGAUGCAGCGACGCCGCGUGAGCGAUGAAGCCCUUCGGGGUGUAAAGCUCUUUCGGCAGGAACGAUAAUGACGGUACCUGCAGAAGAAGCUGCGGCUAACUACGUGCCAGCAGCCGCGGUAAUACGUAGGCAGCAAGCGUUGUUCGGAAUUACUGGGCGUAAAGAGUGUGUAGGUGGUGUCGUAAGUUUGGUGUGAAAUCUCCCGGCUUAACUGGGAGGGUGCGCCGAAGACUGAGAUGCUCGAGUAUGGGAGAGGAAAGCGGAAUUCCUGGUGUAGCGGUGAAAUGCGUAGAUAUCAGGAGGAACACCUGCGGUGUAGACGGCUUUCUGGACCAUUACUGACACUGAGACACGAAAGCGUGGGUAGCAAAC